UACGAAGGGGGGCUAGCGUUGCUCGGAAUUACUGGGCGUAAAGCGCACGUAGGCGGUCUUUUAAGUCGGGGGUGAAAUCCUGGAGCUCAACUCCAGAACUGCCUUUGAUACUGAAGAUCUUGAGUUCGGGAGAGGUGAGUGGAACUGCGAGUGUAGAGGUGAAAUUCGUAGAUAUUCGCAAGAACACCAGUGGCGAAGGCGGCUCACUGGCCCGAUACUGACGCUGAGGCACGAAAGCGUGGGGAGCAAACAGG
rnacentral:rRNA from 1 species